GGUUGCUAACUCAACGGUAGAGUACUCGGCUUUUAAGCCGAUCAGUUCCGGGUUCGAGUCCCGGGCAACCCA
rnacentral:tRNA from 1 species